AACAUCGCCUCCUGCAAAAAUCAAUGUAUAGGAGGUCCUGCCUGCCCAGUGACAACUUGUUAAACGGCCGCGGUAUUUUGACCGUGCUAAGGUAGCGCAAUCACUUGUCUUUUAAAUGAAGACCUGUAUGAAUGGUGGAACGAGGGCUUAACUGUCUCCCUUCUCCCGUCAAUGAAAUUGAUCUGCCCGUGCAGAAGCGGGCAUACAUAUACAAGACGAGAAGACCCUUUGGAGCUUAUUGGGGCGACCGCGGGGGAAAAUAAAGCCCCCACGUAAAACCGAGAGAGACAUCUCUAAGCCACAGAAUAUCUGACCAAAAGAUCCGGCCCACAAGCCGAUCAACGAACCAAGUUACCCUAGGGAUAACAGCGCAAUCCCCUCCAAGAGUUCAUAUCGACGAGAGGGUUUACGACCUCGAUGUUGGAUCAGGACAUCCUAAUGGUGCAGCCGCUAUUAAGGGUUCGUUUGUUCAACGAUUAAAGUCCUACGUGAUCU
rnacentral:rRNA from 1 species